GUCAGGUCACCAACAGGAGCAAAAAUGUGGAAUGGAGAGCCCCGGGUCCCCAGCACCAACCCACUGGGCCUGGAAGUGCCACUGAGACACAAAGGGACAGCACGGGACCCACUGAGUUGUCCAGGCUUGGGCACGAGCCCGCUGGCUUCAGGAGUAUCUGGGACUGCUGGUGCUGCCCAUACCGGGGUCUUCAGGUCCUUCAGUUGGUUCCUCAGCUGGAAGAGCUCAGAGGAGGUCAGCAGGAUGGUGUUCAAGGCUCCUGCUUUCUUGGCAGAAAGGACACCUGAAAUUCUGCUCAGUGCUGCCUCAGCUCUCUGCUGCUCAUACUGUGGAGACCAGGAGAGCCCAACUGGGUACCCAGCUUUCCCUGAAACUGGGAUGCUCCCUGGGUCUCACCCCAUGGCAGACAGAACCAGGGGCAUC